rnacentral:lncRNA from 1 species
UGUUGAAAUGAUGAAUAGUUGCUCUAUCGUCAUUUCUUUCCAGUAUCUAGUUUCAACCUUGAAUUCUCCAAAUUAAUAAAAUGAUUAAAUGCGUGGGUUGCAAAAUGCUCUAUCUAAAGUCUAAAGUAAUUAAUGGAUAUAUUUGUGAUGAUCUGAGCUGCUAGUAUCCUGUUCUAAACAACGCUAGAGUUCUAGAGUUUUUACAAAAAUAAAAUAAUCACAUUGAGUUAGAUUAAGCUUUGUUGACCCUUUGAGAGGUUGUCAUACGAUUGAAAACAAAAAUAUUUCAUUAUGUUACCAUCUCAAAAGUUUGUUAGAAGGCAUAUGGCUAUGAAAAAGAAAAAAAAGCAUCCGAGGAAAUAAAAAGGGACAUGUAUCGGAAACCUCAAAAAGAAAGCUCACGAGGAAAUAAAAAGGGACAGGUGUCCGGAACCUCGAAAAAAUAAAAAUAAAAAAAUGGCAAGUGCCCAACAGUAGAAUUAGCCACAUAGCCAUGUGUCUCUAAUAGACAAAAAGAGAAUGAUGGAAAAGAAAAAGUUUCCAAAAUUCAAUGGUAUGAUUAACUUUCUCUUUGGAUCCAUUGUUUAAUUUGACAAAUAAAUGUGCUAAGUUUUGAAAAUCAAAAAAACUCCGGAACAAAAGUGAAGUAAAGAACUAGGGAUAUAGCGCUCGAUCUAAUCAAAUCCGUCCUGCAAAUGCUUAAGGACCCAAGGUAUGAGCAAUAAGCCCCAUGACAUAUCUGUUCAAAAUUCAAAGGAGAAUUCUUGUUUGAAGGUAUGUACUGGAUAGAAGUAAAAAUAUUGUAGCAACUCCUGAUCAACAACCAAGAUCUUAGCUUUUUGCUCGAGGACGAGCAAGGGGUAAGCUUGGGGGAAGUUUUGUUGGCGGUUCUUAAUGACAUAUUUAUCCCGCCAACAUAGUCCAUGCAAAGGAAGAAAAGCAUGUAUUUUACUCACAUAUACUUAUUAAAUGCUUACCAAGUUCCACAUGUAGUGCAAGUUGUGUUUUGCAGAUCAUAUACAGGCAUACAGGUGGAAAGCAAAUAAAAAGGCGCAAUUCGACACGUCAAAAAAUGCGCAAAUAAACAAGCACCCAAAAGCCCAAUAUAGAAGUGCAUCAAUUUGCAGGCGGAUCUGGACUCAGGGGCCCGAGAGGAAGGCAACGGGCUUCGGGCUGGGGCCAGUGGGGCCCACCAGGGGCGGCCGCCCCCUAGGGUCGGCCGACCCUGCCCAGCCCAUCUCGGCAUCGCCUUUCGUAGAGGCGGUGCUGAGCCUAUCCUCCCGCAGUCCCUGCGUGCAAAUUGCAGUUUACACCCUAGGAAACCGACCUUCCCCACCUAUUUAAGGAGGGGGAGAGGGUGGCUCCAUUCAUCUCAUCACAUUCACAAUCAACACUCCACCUUCAAGGCACUUGGGCACUACCUCUUCUUAGUUUUUCCUUUUAGCUUUUAGAGAGAGAGUUGGGUGAGCUAUCGAGGAGGGCUUGGCUCCUUGGAGAGAAACUUGGGUACGAAUAAAGAAUGUCUUUACUCCAAGUCCAUGCCUUAUCAUGUCUGAUAUAGUUCUUCAUAUGAACUAGAGUAUAGUUCUUAUGCUAUGGUACAUGACAUAGAUCAUAGGCCCUGUUUUAUGAUGCUAGCAUAUGAACUAGAAUAUAGUUCUAGUGAAAAUUAUAUGACAUACAUUUUAGUAUAUAGUUCUUAUAGUAUAAUGCUACCCUAGGGCUAGUAGUGUAUUAUAUGAACUAGUGCUAAGUGUAUGUUGUAUUAUUCUCACUUAGGACUUUAGUCUAAUUGCUUCAUGUUAAUUAAUUGCCUAGAAAUAGCUUUGUGUGAAGAUGGGGGUUUAUCAUGCUCUUUUGAGUAGGCUCAGGCUUCUUACCUGUCGAUCCGUAGGGUCGGGGACCCGGGGGAGUCCGAGUAGGUUCUUUGCAUGUAAGCAUGGUGCUUGGGUGUAAAGGCCGGGUAAAUGCAUUGUCCUAGUCCAUGGUUGAGGGGAUGGCAGCAGGUGGUGACAGCCCUGUCCGUCCUUGGCAUUCCCCCACGUUCGGCUAGGCUGUAGGAGUCUAAAUAGUUGCGGAGGUUGCUGCACUCGCGUAACCUCCCAAACCAUCUAAACACAGGACUAGAUCUAAGUAGUAUAAUUACAUGAUUAACUUGUUCUAUGACAUGAUCUGUAUCUAGGACCACACCUGCUCCAAUAGGUUGUUUGUUUAUUCUUUGAUUCAAUUCAUUCUUUUAGUCUCUUUUUAUUCCUUAGCCCAUAUGCCAUGCCUAGAUUGUGAUGGAUCACUAUUCUACAUAUAAAUGUUUAUCACCUGCUAUGACCUUUGAUUCCAUUAUUGCUAUCAUAAUUACUUUGAUCUAUGUGUACCUUAGAAUCCUUAACAUAUUAAGCCUUCCUUAGAGCGAACCUAUAAAUACGACACUCGGUAAAUCCCUGGGUUGAAAUGCUACACGAUAAUUCCCGUCCGCUUGCGGUACUUAAACUCCAAACCUAAGGAACUAUCACCCCGGUAUAUACUUAACACUGUUGCUAGACAUGCGCCGAGCUAGUGACUUGUUACGGAAUACCAACAUGGCAAUCCUAGUGCCACUACCAUGAUUAAGAACUGGAACCCUAGCCUAACGGUAAUAAGGCGCCGUUAUCGGGAAGGUAGAUCUAGCUUCCUAUUCAAGGUGGUGAUGCUACGGAUCUACCAAUAUAACACUGCCAAUGUCAUUAUCAUGAGUAGAGCAGAACCCUAUUCUAGGUAGCGACGCUAAGGAACGCUAACAAGCAUUUCUGGCACCGUUGCUUAGGAUAGAUUUAUACUCUAAUCUUGGUGAUUGCAUUAGUAAGUGUUAUCACGACAUUUCUGACAUCGUUGCUGAGGACGGAUUAAACCCUGUUCUUAGUGAUGACGUUAAGAAAUGCCAACAAGCAUUUCUAGCACCGUUGCCGGGGAAGGCUAAUAUGAAAAUGAUUCUAGAUAAAUAUAAUCAAGUAAUCUGAUGUGCGUAAUGAGUCAAUUGUUAUGCAGGGUAACUCUGCCUGUUUUCUCCCUGUUGUGGAUGAAACCGGAGGAAUAGUGUAUGCCUGGUUUCUCUUUGCUGAAAAACUACAUCUCCGAUCCCGAGGCACUCCUAUGGACUAGACGGUCUCGAACCGUUUCGUCUUCUGCUACUCCACUGACAAGUCAACCAGCCGGUACCGCACCAACCCCGAACGAACUCAUGGCAGCCGAGAAGACACUACGCGAGUUCUCCGUGCCCGCUGUCACCAACGUGGCCACUGGCCCCGUUGUUGACACGGCUGACAAGAACAUCAAGCUACGCACCGGCCUGAUCACCAUGAUGCAGGCGAGCCCAUUCUGUGGCUUGCCAAGCGAGGAUGUGAAUGCACACCUUCAACACUUCCUGGAGCUAUGUGACACGAUUGUCAUCAAGGACAUCACUCCUGAUGUCAUUCGGCUCUGCCUCUUUCCUUUCUCCCUCGUGGGGAAGGCGAAGAGGUGGUUCUAUCAAGAUAAGGAAGCUGUCACCACGUGGGCAAAAUGCUCCGCAGCAUUCCUCGCCAAGUUCUUCCCCAUAAGCAAAACCAAUGCUUUGAUGGGAAGGAUUGCCAGUUUUCAGCAAAAUGCCAGCGAAACAAUCCCUGAAGCAUGGGAGCGGCUACAAGAGUACAUCCUAAGCUGCCCCCAUCACGGCAUGGAGAACUGGAUGGUGCUCCAGAACUUCUACAAUGGGCUCACGCCCAUGUCGAAGGGACACCUAGCCGCCGCCGCUGGAGGCGCGUUCCUUUCACUUACCACCGCCGGGGCCAAGGCCCUGAUUGAGAAGAUGGUAGAACACCAGAGCUUGGGGGAGGACAGAACUCAACCACCAGCUACCAAAACACAAAAAAGCAUGCAUACCGUGAAGGAGACGGAUAUGCUUGCCGCAAAAAUAGAUUUAUUGAUGAAGCAACUCACCGAGAGGAACCAAGAGAACCCAUCGAACUCGGUGAAGGCCAUAGACUCACACAUGACGUGCGAGGUCUGUGGAGAAGUUGGCCAUUCGGGGAAUGAUUGCACCGAAACCCGUGAAGACGCUGCCUACAUCAACAAUGGGUUCUGCCAACAAGGAGGCGCCAACCAAGGUAAUGGUUGGAAUAAUCAGUCACGCUCUUGAUUCCAAGGUAAUUCGAUUUUUAAUUCGCAUCAACCUUCAUUAAAAGACCUAGUUCUUGGACAAGCUAAAAUAAAUGAAAAUUUAUCUAAAAAGUUGCUGUCCAAUGAUAAGGUUUUAGAAAACAUAAAUACAAAAAUAGAAAACCUUGCCUCUUCCGUACAAAACCAACUGAGCUUUAAUAAAAUGAUAGAAACACAACUAGCUCAGAUCGCCGCUGCAAUUCCUACUGAGAAUGCGGGUAGACUCCCGGGGCAACCCGAGAACUCUCCCACUAAUCAUGCAGGGUGAAAUUCAAACGACAGAAGAGAGUCCUUCUCAAAAAGGACUAUAAACAUUUUUUUUGAGCCUCCGCCGAAUGUAAUCGGUAGUUAUCUUAAAAAUAUAUAUAUAUAUAUAUAUAAAAUUGAAAAAUAUUCAAAAAUUCAUUUUCAGCUAGGAAAUAAAAUAAAAUAAUAGUAAAAUAUUUUUUCUAAAUUUUUCGAAAAUAAAAGUUUUACAAAUAAAUGUUGGAAAUUGCAAAAGUCAUUUUUUCAGCUAGAAGUGCAUCAAUAUGCCAACUGAAAACUUCAAAAACUAGCCGUUGGAAGAUGGAGGCAAAAGCUAGGGAGCAGCGGGCCCACCAGGGGGCGGCUGCCCCUAGGGUCGGCCGACCCCCCCCAACGGCUCUGGCCAACGGCCAGCUAGGGGAGGCUCCUAGCCGUUGACCUCACCCCGAAUCCACCUGCAUUUUCAAACUAUAAAUACCAGGGGUUCGGGUGUGGCCCUCUCCACCCAUUCUCACUUCACUUCAUCACUUCCAUCUUCACUCUCCAAGCAACACUUUCACAUCUUUGCUAUUUCCAACCAACCACCAGCAGAAACCUCACAAAAAAAUCACCUAUCCAAGCUAGCUAUCCACUGGUGCAAGCAUUGCACCAUGAAAAGGUUCGGCAAAACAAUUUUAGGGGCGUUUAAAAGAGUCACUAGGUCAUCCUCGAAGCGCCCCUAUCGGAGCACUUCCUCAUACUACACCGAUCCCCGAUGGAGUCCUUCCGCUGAGGAAGAAUCCCCGAAGACCGAGGAGGUAGAGGAAGAGGUAGAGGAAGAAGAAGAGGAACAAGAGGGGGAACAACAUGAAGAAGGAGGAGCCCACCAAUUCGACUUGGUGGGUGAUCGAGAACAUCAAGCCUACAACAUGCUCAAGGACCGGAUCUUCCUCCAUAUGCCGGUCUACGACGACUCGCUCCUGUCCGAUAUCGGUAUGGACUCUGAAUUCCUCUCCAUAUGGAAAGCCGUCGGGUGGAACAACAUUCACCCCAUAACUGAGUAUGGAUCCUAUACCCUUACCAUUCAAAUCCUAUGCACUUUAAGAGAAACAUAUGAAGGUAUUUCUGUUCGUUUAUUUGGAAAUGAAUAUGCUAUCUUUUGGAAAGACUUAAGCAAAUACCUUGGUUUUCAUCAAAGAUGCUCUCUUGAUUUAGUGCAUUCCACAAAAGGGUUUAAUAAGGAUAAGUUUUGGGAAGAAAUCACGGGGCAAGUUCACACUGGAAAAUACUAUCCUAGAAAUGCCCACAUCCAACACCCCACUCUAAGGUUUUUACACCUUUUGCUAUCCAUAACAAUGUUUCCUAGCCAGGAUACCCGCGUUGUGCGAGUAAAUGAAAUGAGGUUACUUUACGCGGCUAGAAUGAAAAUAAAAGUUGCGCCUGUGCAAGAAAUUGUAAGGCAAUUGUUAGAUAUAAUCAAGACAACCACCCCUAUCUCUUUGACUUCACUCAUAACACGUGUGGCCAUGGCCAUUGGUGCGUUGGAAGGGCAAGAUCUUGAUUAUAUUCAAAUUCCACGCACCAUGAUUAAUGAAACCUAUCUUAUCCAAGGUCACCAUUUGAAAAGAGAUAAUGCGGGCGGUCUUGUGUUUUAUUUCCCAGGGUAUACAAAUGUAAUCGGUUACCUAACCCCGGUCUACGCUUGUAUAACUCUGGGAGACUAACCUUUGAUCUGCAGACAGCUGAAACUGCGCGAAGGUGUAGUGUUUCUGGCAGGGACAUCGGCGGAUCUAGCUCCCAGCCACCACCCUCCUAUACACAGCCGAUCUACCAGUCGGGGUGGGACACACCCAUGCCGACACAAGGUGUUGAGGGGUGGGCUGAGGCGGAUUCCAGCGCUUGGAAACAACAAUCGCGCUGAAGGGCCGAAUCACCAGAAGAACAUCCUUCGGCCUUCACAGUAGGCCGAACCGACUUGGAGCGCCUCUAAUCUCAGCUUGGGGGACUGGUGGUGCGCACGGAUGAGAUCCAGGAUACUCUCCAACAACACAUCCAAACCACCGAUGCGGACAACCAGCAGGCCGUGGAGUGGCACCAGCAAGGGUUGCUAUGGCAACAGCAACAACAGGCCUGGCACCAGCAGCAGCAAGAACAAAUGCAAGCUCGCCAAGAUCAGCUGUUGAAACAGUCCCAAGACUUCUAGCGGUACAUGGGGUACAACCCCGAUCAAUAGGCCAGAAGCUAGCUUGGUGGAGGACCCCCAGUCCCGAGGUUAUCUGCAUUGCAUAUUUAUUUUCAUGCAUCCUUAAUUUUAAAUUAACAUGUUUACUUUAUGAAAUUUCCAUGUUUUAAUUAUUGCAUAUAAAAAAUGAAAAAUGCUAAAAAGACAAAAAUAUAAUUCCACUCUUAUAUGUGAUGUAAGAUAUAUGCUUCGUCCUUGUUGAAAUGAUGAAUAGUUGCUCUAUCGUAAUUUCUUUCCAGUAUCUAGUUUCAACCUUGAAUUCUCCAAAUUAAUAAAAUGAUUAAAUGCGUGGGUUGCAAAAUGCUCUAUCUAAAGUCUAAAGUAAUUAAUGGAUAUAUUUGUGAUGAUCUGAGCUGCUAGUAUCCUGUUCUAAACAACGCUAGAGUUCUAGAGUUUUUACAAAAAUAAAAUAAUCACAUUGAGUUAGAUUAAGCUUUGUUGACCCUUUGAGAGGUUGUCAUACCAUUGAAAACAAAAAUAUUUCAUUAUGUUAUCAUCUCAAAAGUUUGUUAGAAGGCAUAUGGCUAUGAAAAAGAAAAAAAAGCAUCCGAGGAAAUAAAAAGGGACAUGUAUCCGAAACCUCAAAAAGAAAGCUCACGAGGAAAUAAAAAGGGACAUGUGUCCGGAACCUCGAAAAAAUAAAAAUAAAAAAAUGUCCAGUGCCCAACAGUAGAAUUAGCCACAUAGCCAUGUGUCUCUAAUAGACAAAAAGAGAAUGAUGGAAAAGAAAAAGUUUCAAAAAUUCAAUGGUAUGAUUAACUUUCUCUUUGGAUCCAUUGUUUAAUUUGACAAAUAAAUGUGCUAAGUUUUGAAAAUCAAAAAAACUCCGGAACAAAAGUGAAGUAAAGAACUAGGGAUAUAGCGCUCGAUCUAAUCAAAUCCGUCCUGCAAAUGCUUAAGGACCCAAGGUAUGAGCAAUAAGCCCCAUGACAUAUCUGUUCAAAAUUCAAAGGAGAAUUCUUGUUUGAAGGUAUGUACUGGAUAGAAGUAAAAAUAUUGUAGCAACUCCUGAUCAACAACCAAGAUCUUAGCUUUUUGCUCGAGGACGAGCAAGGGGUAAGCUUGGGGGAGUUUGUUGGCGGUUCUUAAUGACAUAUUUAUCCCGCCAACAUAGUCCAUGCAAAGGAAGAAAAGCAUGUAUUUUACUCACAUAUACUUAUUAAAUGCUUACCAAGUUCCACAUGUAGUGCAAGUUGUGUUUUGCAGAUCAUAUACAGGCAUACAGGUGGAAAGCAAAUAAAAAGGCGCAAUUCGACACGUCAAAAAAUGCGCAAAUAAACAAGCACCCAAAAGCCCAAUAUAGAAGUGCAUCAAUUUGCAGGCGGAUCUGGACUCAGGGGCCCGAGAGGAAGGCAACGGGCUUCGGGCUGGGGCCAGCGGGGCCCACCAGGGGCGGCCGCCCCCUAGGGUCUGCCGACCCUGCCCAGCCCAUCUCGGCAUCGCCUUUCGCAGAGGCGGUGCUGAGCCUAUCCUCCCGCAGUCCCUGCGUGCAAAUUGCAGUUUACACCCUAGGAAACCGACCUUCCCCACCUAUUUAAGGAGGGGGAGAGGGAGGCUCCAUUCAUCUCAUCACAUUCACAAUCAACACUCCACCUUCAAGGCACUUGGGCACUACCUCUUCUUAGUUUUUCCUUUUAGCUUUUAGAGAGAGAGUUGGGUGAGCUAUCGAGGAGGGCUUGGCUCCUUGGAGAGAAACUUGGGUACGAAUAAAGAAUAUCUUUACUCCAAGUCCAUGCCUUAUCAUGUCUGAUAUAGUUCUUCAUAUGAACUAGAGUAUAGUUCUUAUGCUAUGGUACAUGACAUAGAUCAUAGGCCCUGUUUUAUGAUGCUAGCAUAUGAACUAGAAUAUAGUUCUAGUGAAAAUUAUAUGACAUACAUUUUAGUAUAUAGUUCUUAUAGUAUAAUGCUACCCUAGGGCUAGUAGUGUAUUAUAUGAACUAGUGCUAAGUGUAUGUUGUAUUAUUCUCACUUAGGACUUUAGUCUAAUUGCUUCAUGUUAAUUAAUUGCCUAGAAAUAGCUUUGUGUGAAGAUGGGGGUUUAUCAUGCUCUUUUGAGUAGGCUCAGGCUUCUUACCUGUCGAUCCGUAGGGUCGG